GUGGUUGCAUCAUUUUUCCCCCUUACUAGUGCUUACAUGAACUUCUAUUUAUUCUCUUCAUUACUCGAUCUUGCACAAUUUGUCAAUGCAUUCAGUUUCAAAUAACCUUGCGUCCAUACAGUAUGGCAAACUGAUUUUUCAACUCAGCGUAAAAGCAUUAGAAAAUUCAGGACCGAAACAUUUUUUUAUUAAAAUUUUGUUUGGUAGGCUAAAAUACUUGAAUGGAAAUGAAUCUUCUCAAUUUCAAGCAUGUCCUAAGGCAGCAGCUUGCAGAAUAAUGUUAACUAUGUCACUGGUUCUAAUUUUGGAUAAUUGAGUAUUUAUUUCACAGUACACUGCCUCUUGGGGCAGAGUCUUGGCUUGUAUGCACACGUAGCAGAGAGUCCUUGUAACUUCUUAUUCCCAGCCUAAAUCCUUUCUUCUUUUCAUCUCUCUCUGAGAACGCAAACAGGAUUCUGCAUCCCCUGACCACUGAAGAUCCCCUCUGCAAGUCCAGCAUAUUAUGAAGCGUUGACCUCAGUAUGCCAGCUGGCAUAAAGGAGAUGUGGAGAAGCUCGACUCAAUAGGUCAGAUGGCCUUGUGGAUGUCCUCACUCUCUUUCCUACUUUUGACCAUCACUCUGUUAAUGACCUGGAGUUCUUACACUACUUCUUUGCCUUUGCAAAGCAUCUGAAAAGACUGGAGGAUUUGAAAUAUAACUGGACCCUCCCAAAUUUCACGUGGGAGAUAGAUAUAUUAUAAACUUCAGUGAGAGAAUAACUUAUCAUUUACAAAAUAAAACAUAAAAUACACAAGCGCCUAUUGUAUGAAGCACUAUUUUCACCAUGUUUCUGAAGCUAGUAGUUGCCAGCCAGAAAACCUGACAAGUUUUCACAGAUUCCAUAGAUUUUUAAGUGAGGAAAUGUACUGCAGUUCUGUGAUUGCAGUUUUCUUUAAUUGCUGCAGGCUGUAGAGAGACAUUCCUUGGAUCCUUCCCCAUUAUUUUUCCAUAACCUCAUCACUUCUGUUCUUAUGUCCAACUCUGAACAUAUGUUUAUAUUUUGUGAUAUAAUGUGAUAGUAGCUGCAGUCAUUAGUCACUCUGAGUGAAUUUCAUGGUAAUUAAUGUUUUAGUUUUUUGUUUUUAAACGAUAUGUUACCUAGGGGACCAUAUCUGUCUGUAAGUGUAAGUUCUCCCCCCUCUCCAUGAGCGUGCCCUGCCUGUGACCUCCUUUCCACCCAUCACACACUCCCCUCUGCCCUCUCCAGACUUCGUAAAAUGAUUAUCAUGUAAGAAGUACUUCGCUUUUGAUGUAGGGUCCAUCUUCAUUACGGUGGAAGGUUUGUAAUUCCGUAUUUCCUGUCUAGUUCCUGAGGCAGCUAAGUGUGUCACGCACAAAAUGAAUAAUUACAUGUUUUUGAAAACAAGGGGAGUAAAAUCUUUCAGUGUUAGCUGAAGCUGGAAAUGCUCUCACAUGGAUACAAGGAAAAGAAAUAAUUUCUGACCAGAAACAUACAUGCUCAAAUUAUGCACUGGACUCAUGUAUGCAAAACCCCACUGCUAUAAAUUAUUCAUCUCAAGAGAGCAUCAUUCUUGGAUGUUCUGCAAGACUGGGCUUGUGGAGGCUGAUACUUUCUGCUUAUUCUUAAUCUUCUUCCAGCCAAAAAUAAACAACCUGUAUGCUAGCAUACAGAUGGCAUUAAAAUGGCUGAAAGGAUGAAUUUGGCUCAGCAGAAAAUAGGCUUGUAUAAGGCCAGUAUUAUUUAAUUUACUUUAUGUCAGUGCAUGCUGGCUGCUAUAAUUCUAUUGCUAAGAUUGAAAAAAAAAAAA